rnacentral:rRNA from 1 species
AUGGAGAAGCUUGAUGAAGAAGCCGAGAAUGAAGUGGCGAGCAUAAAAGAAAUGCAGAGCCAGUUUCCCUCGGAUGCAGUGUAUUAUUACACUGACUCUGAGGAUAGACAACAGUCUACUGAGGCUACUCCACCAAUGGUGAAAAUCCCCUACAGAAUGAUGCUGGAUGUCCUUUUAGAAUCUUUGGGCCUGCCAGAGGCUGAGUAUCGAACCAAAGAAUGCGUAUGCGAGGGUGGUUCGAAGUUACGAAGAACCCCAUUUUCGUUCAGAUAUGCACGCCUUUUUGUCAUCCGGAGUCUUUGCAUUUAG